rnacentral:rRNA from 1 species
AACGCUAGCUACAGGCUUAACACAUCCAAGUCGAGGGGUAACGAGAGGAAAGCUUGCUUUCCUUGUCGACGACCGGCGCACAGGUGAGUAACGCGUAUCCAACCUGCCCCCAACUAGGGAAUAACCUUGCGAAAGUAAGACUAAUACCCUAUAAUUUCCUCAGAUGUCAUCUGACGAGGAAUAAAGAUUUAUCGGUUGUGGAUGGGGAUGCGUCUGAUUAGCUUGUUGGCGGGGUAACGGCCCACCAAGGCAACGAUCAGUAGGGGUUCUGAGAGGAAGGUCCCCCACAUUGGAACUGAGACACGGUCCAAACUCCUACGGGAGGCAGCAGUGAGGAAUAUUGGUCAAUGGGCGGAAGCCUGAACCAGCCAAGUAGCGUGCAGGAUGACGGCCCUAUGGGUUGUAAACUGCUUUUAUACAGGAAUAAAGUUAGCCACGUGUGGUUAUUUGUAGGUACUGUAUGAAUAAGGACCGGCUAAUUCCGUGCCAGCAGCCGCGGUAAUACGGAAGGUCCAGGCGUUAUCCGGAUUUAUUGGGUUUAAAGGGAGCGUAGGCCGUCUGUUAAGCGUGUUGUGAAAUGUAGAUGCUCAACACCUGAAUUGCAGCGCGAACUGGCAGACUUGAGUGUGCGCAACGUAUGCGGAAUUCGUGGUGUAGCGGUGAAAUGCUUAGAUAUCACGAAGAACUCCGAUUGA